GUGAUCCGAACAGAAGUGGCGAAAGAAGGCACCCCUGCCUUGUUCUUGUUCUUAGAGGAAAAUCUUUGUCUUUCACUAAUGAGUAAAAUGUUUGCUGUGGGUUUUUACAUAUGGCUUUUUCACAUUGACGUAGUUUCCUUCUGUUCCUAGUUUGUGUUCUUUUUUUUUUUUGACAGGGUCUUGCUCUGUCACGCAGGCUGGAGUGCAGUGGCAUAAUCACAGCUCACUACUGCCUUGACCUCCCUGGCUCAAGCAAUCCUCCCACUUCAGCCUCCCGAGUAGCUGGGACCACAGGUACGCACAACCACGCCUGGCUAAUUAAAAAAAAUUUUUUUGGUAGAGACAGGGUCUUGCCACAUUCCCCAGGCUGGUCUCAAACUCCUGGGCUCAAGUAAUCUAGUUGUAAAAAGUUUAAAGCCAGUUUUUAAAAAGCCCAACUUUCAUCAUUGGCAGGAUGUGCGUUCUGAUAAAAUUACUCUUACAGCUAGAAACAGAAGAACCUUUCCUUGCAUUUCUAAUUGUUUUGUUCCACUGCUGUAUUUAUAGUUUGAUGAAGAGCAUCUUACCCCUGCACAGUGCUUUUAAACUCUGCUUUGCCUGAUAUGAAUACUCUUAUUUUCUGCUGGUACCCUAUUUUUCUAUCCACUUAUUUUCAGCCUGUCACUUUUAUGAUUAUCAACAGCAUAUUCCUGGUUCUAGUUUCAACCCCAAUCUGACCACCUGUCUUCUAAAGAGAAAAAACAGAUUUAGUGUAACAACAUAUUUCUUAGUUUGUUUAGGAAAGACGGGGUUUAGGGAAACUUCCUCCUACUCCUGACACCAAAGUUCAGAAACAAGUGAGAAUUAGGACUUGAAAGACAAAUGGGUGGGGGGAACUUCUUAGUUUGGCUUUUGAAUUUUUAUUACUUUUUCAUAGAGAUGAGGUCUCACUGUGUUGCCCCGGCUGGUCUCGAACUCCUGGGCUCAAGCAAUCUGCCCGUCUUGGCCUCCCAAAGCACUGGGAUUACAGGCGUGAGCCACCCUGCCCAGCCUAGAAAGCAUUUUUGACUGAACCAAAAGUGCAAAUCCUCACCAAAAUCUCUCAGUGAAGUCACUAAGCUCCCAUUAGAGUGGAGUGUGGAGAGGCCAAGGGCACUCGUCUAGUGCCAAGAUCCCACAGAGAAACAUGAGGCCAGGGCACGAGCACCUCCUCCCAACAGGACCCCGUGACUGGGCCUUUGAACCAUUAGAUGCAGCCCUGGAGCCGCGGUCAGAGCGUGCCCAUCCCGGAGAAGGGAAGCAGCAGCCGGCACGGCCUGUUCUCCCAUCUUCACACCACUCCCUCCAUACAAACCACUGCUUCCCGCCACCUCCUGUGACAAUGCCUGGUGAGGUGGUCAUGCCCCCUUCAGCCCUCCUGAAGUGCCCUCUGGGAAAUAAGGCACGACAGACAAAUGGAUUCAACAUCCUUUUUCUUUUUAAAACUAAACCUUGCUUGAUGGGCAUGGUUUGGAUGAGUUCUCUGACUUCAUCCCUGGAUUAGACUAAUGUCCCCCUCCAGUCACGGGCAGAGGCCUCCAUGAGAUGUGUCUAACCCAGGGAUGCAGACUUCUCCCUUUGGCAGGACAGAAAGUCUACUGUGUGGAAGAGGACGAUCCGGAACGUGUCCUCUCCAUGGGCGGGCAAAUCCAGGCUGGAGCCCAGAGCGUGCCCUGCUCCUCGGUCUCUCCUCCUUGGUAGGAUAGGAAAGGCAGUUCCGGGGCCACGGUGCGUGCCAUGGGGGGUGUUCUCCCUCACAAUGCUUUUUAUGCUGCACUUUUAUCUUCUCCUUUUCCUUAGGUCUUCUAAAAGAUUAAGGUGCAAAUCACAUACAAUCAAAUGCAUCGGUCUUAAGUGUCGGUUUUGAUGAGUUUGGACACGUGUAUACGUUCACAUAACCACCAUCACCAACAAGCUGCAGAAGACUUCCCUCAUCCCAGAAGGUGUCCCUGUGCUCUUUCCAGCCAAUCCUUCCCUCUUCCCUGCCAGGAGAAAACACUAUUCGAAUUUCUCCCAUCAAUUAGUUUGGUCAGUUUCAGAGCUUCAUAUAGAUGCUUACAUAUCUUACUUCUUUCGCUUAACACAUUUAUUUAUGAGACAGGUUCUCACUCUUGUCACCCAGGCUGGAGUGCAGUGGCACGAUCUCAGCUCACGGCAACCUCCGCCUCCCGGAUUCACGCGAUUCUCAUGCCUCAUCCUCCUGAGUAGCUGGGAUUACAGGCGUGCACCACCACACUGGGCUAAUUUUUGUUAAAAUUUUAGUAGGGACGGGUUUUCGCCAUGUUGACCAGGCUAGUCUUGAACUCCUGGCCUCAGGUGAUCCACCUGCCUUGACUUCCCAAAGUGCUGGGAUUGCAGGCUUGAGCCACCGUGUCCAGCCUUUAAUGUUUUUGAGAUGUAUACACAUGGCUGCAUUCAUCACGGUUCACCCCCGUUGGCUACUAAGUAGAAGUCUAUCGUAUGACUACACCAGAAUCUGCUUAUCCAUCCUCCUGUUGUUAGACAUAUUACGAAUAAAGUGACAAUAAACAUCCUUGUACAAAUCACCUGUGGACAUGUAUUUGCACUGAGUAUCUAGGAGAGUCUGCAGGAGUAUGUUUAAUUUUUUAAAACCUCCAAACCAAAAAAUGAAUUUGCCCACUAGUUUCCUAAACUGGAAGUAUUAUUUUAGACAGUAAUAGGUGAGUUCUAGCAGCUUCACAUUCUCAUUACUAUUUGGUGAUGUCUUUUUCAUUUGAACACUAAUAGAUGGAAAAUGGGACCUUUUUGUGACUCUAACUUGCCCUCCUUAGGGAGUAAUGAUGUUGAACAACUUUUCAUGUUCUUAUUGGCCACUCAUGUAUACACAGGUCCCUGACUUAAGACGGUUUGAUUUCAGGUUUUUGGACUUUACGAUGGUGUGGAAGCAUUAAGCUCUCAGCAGAAGCCACACUCUGAAUUCCGAUCUUUCCCUGGGCUGGUGGUGGAUGCGCAGCACAGUGCCCUCCUGCAGUACUGAGCGGCGGCAGGGAGCAGCAGUCCCAGCCAGCUGUGCCAUCGCGAGGGGAGGCGGCCGGCAUGGAUCUUUUCUCCCCUAUAUCUGAGGUCUGAGUCCUUUGUGAGAACACACAGUGUGGUUUCUUGCCUGGCAUCCCAUUCCUUGCUUCUCCAUUUUCAAGAGCAGAACAUUUUCACUUUGAUGGAAGCCCAAUGUUUCUUCUAUGGUAUGUGCUCUGCAUCCAAAGCAGCCUUCGCCCAUCCCACAUUUUAGAUAAUUUUUUCUUCUAAAAACUUCAUUGUUUAAGCGCUCAUGUUUGGAUCUGCAAUCUAUUUUGGAUGAAUUCUUGUGUAUAACGUGCAGUAGGAAUAAAGGCUCAUGUCUUUCCAUACGGAUAGCAGUUUUAUUCACAGACACAGGUGGUGGCCAGACCUGGCACACGGAUGCAGCUGACCCUGGAAGCUGAAGGACAAUGAAACCCAUCUGAUUAAGAUGCUCAACUUUUCUGAAGAAAAAGCUGACACCAAGACCUGCCUAAGGUCACACCAUCAUGAGUGGCUGAGUUGGGCUGUGAUGAGCCACCUGGCUGGAGAGCUCGUGCCCUGGUUACACGACUGCCAGUGAGAU